UCCUCGCGUUCAUUUUUCCCCUAGACGUUCAAAUAUAGUCAUUUUACAUCCAUUUAUAUUAGGAUAAUUAGUUAAGUCGAAAUUCUGUAAAGAAUUGGCGUUAAAUGACCGCGAAUGCAACACGGCGUAAAUAAAAACGGGACGAAAGAAAACAAAUAGCUGAGGUUCCUUGUAAUAAAAGCGAGGAAGAAACGGCGAGCUGGAGAUGAUGAAGGCGCUUGAAUCGGGUCGUCAUACCUCUAUUUCUAACUGAGCUGAAGUCGGGGAGAACCAGAUAUCCAACAUGGACUAACACCAUCCUGGAUCCUUCUUUGUUGUGAGUCCAGCCAGCGAGACAGAUGGUCCAUGGAAAUGAUCCGCUCCAGUUGCCCGCACAUUCAAACGGACAGGCUGCUCUGCCGCACACAGGGGCCGGGCAGCCAAUCACUGGACCCGGCAAACCGCGACCCCUUCGGCUUUGACAGCCGGAUCCUCCAAUGGCGUCAGCGCCGAGGUGGGAGGCUUUUAUUUUGGAAAUCCCGCUUAGUUUUUAUGUUUUUCUGUCAUAAAGAAUCGUGCACCUUAUGUUUUAGGAAAUUAAGAAAGCUAAAACAUAAAAACUGUUUUGUAACAAAUUAAGCCACAUACGGGCAAGUUAUGCAUGGACUAAUCUAAAAUGUAGACAUUUGUUUUAAUGCUUAUUUUGCAUUUUUAAACGUCUGCAAAAACAAAAAGCUUAUAACCCCCCCCAAAAAAA